AUCUAGAAAAGGCAGCAAGUGAGUGCCAUGAAGAUUAGGGCUGGGGGAAAAUGAAAGCCAGUCAGAAAUUAGGCACAGACCAGCAUCUCAUAUCAUAUACCAAGGUAGAUUAGAACAUGAGGCAGCUGCAUCAACAUCCCAUCUGUGGACUAAGAACUAUCAAAGUGGAUUUGGGAAGCACCCAUCUAACAACGCCAGGAGCAGGAUCCUCUUUGUAUUGCUAUUGCUUUCAUGUAUUUGAAGCUUCAGGUGCUUGAGGUGAUCCUCACUGGACUCACUGGAUCCUCAAUGGACUGUUCAAGCCAUGGAGACCUUGGAGCCCGAAGCCAAGAUUGCAGGCGGGGUGGUGUAGCAACUGCCAGUUCAAUAUGGAAACCCUAAGAAGCCAGAGUGCCCUGGACUCAAGCUCAAGAGGGGCUCUGGCCUUGGAUUUGGGACUGCGCUCCAAGGGAUCGAAGCUAAACUGUGAACCUAAUCCCCUUCCCCUCUUCAGAGACUGAAGGCAAGGAGUCUCCCACGCACUGGGGGAAGUGUGUUUGAAUAUUUGUGAUUAUCUUUGGAAAUCACUAUUCCUCUCUGUAAAAGUUCCACCGUGUUAAACUAGCAAAGAAGGAAAAUGUCAAAUUUAAAAAAAUUGCACCAAAUAUCUCUGCUAAUGGUCUGAUAUCCAAGGACAUGUGGAAACAACACAAACAUAAAAGAGCAAAGGCCAUUUCUUCACAGACAAGUAGUCAGAGGACAUGAACAAACAGUUCUCAAAAAAGAAAUGGCCAAACUAUUAAUAACCUUGUGAAAGAUUGUUCCAAGUCACUAAUAAUAAGAGAGAGCCAAAUCAAAAGAACUUUGCGUUUUUACCCUAUAUUCAAGAAAACGACAAAGAUGAUAAA